rnacentral:rRNA from 1 species
AUUGAACGCUGGCGGCAGGCCUAACACAUGCAAGUCGAGCGGAUGAAGGGAGCUUGCUCCUGGAUUCAGCGGCGGACGGGUGAGUAAUGCCUAGGAAUCUGCCUGGUAGUGGGGGAUAACGUCCGGAAACGGGCGCUAAUACCGCAUACGUCCUGAGGGAGAAAGUGGGGGAUCUUCGGACCUCACGCUCUCAGAUGAGCCUAGGUCGGAUUAGCUAGUUGGUGGGGUAAAGGCCUACCAAGGCGACGAUCCGUAACUGGACUGCGAGGAUGAUCAGUCACAUGAGAGCGGGACCGCGGACCAGAGGACUACGGGAGGCACCAGUGGGGAAUGUGGGACAAUGGGGGAAAGCAUUACACAACGGUGCGGCGGGUGAGAAAGCGGUCUCGGGAUUGGAAAGCAUUUCAGGGGGGGGGAAAGGGCAGUAGGUUAUUACCUGGCGGUUGUGACGUUACCAAAUAAAGAAGCACCGGCUAACUACGUG